GACGAACGCUGGCGGCGUGCUUAACACAUGCAAGUCGAACGGUGACGAUCAAGCUUGCUUGGUCUGAUCAGUGGCGAACGGGUGAGUAACACGUGAGUAACCUGCCCCUGACUCUGGGAUAACCCCGGGAAACCGGAGCUAAUACCGGAUACGACACGCCCCUGCAUGGGGAGCGUGUGGAAAGUUUUUCGGUCUGGGAUGGACUCGCGGCCUAUCAGCUUGUUGGUGAGGUAAUGGCUCACCAAGGCGACGACGGGUAGCCGGCCUGAGAGGGCGACCGGCCACACUGGGACUGAGACACGGCCCAGACUCCUACGGGAGGCAGCAGUGGGGAAUAUUGCACAAUGGGCGAAAGCCUGAUGCAGCGACGCCGCGUGAGGGAUGACGGCCUUCGGGUUGUAAACCUCUCAGCAGGGAAGAAGCGCAAGUGACGGUACCUGCAGAAGAAGCACCGGCUAACUACGUGCCAGCCGCCGCCGUAACAC
rnacentral:rRNA from 1 species